AGAGUUUGAUCAUGGCUCAGGAUGAACGCUGGCGGUAUGCUUAACACAUGCAAGUCGAACGGAAUCUUCGGAUUUAGUGGCGGACGGGUGAGUAACGCGUGAGAAUCUACUCUUAGAUUGGGGACAACAGUUGGAAACGACUGCUAAUACCGAAUGUGCCGAAAGGUAAAAGAUUUAUCGUCUGAGAAUGAGCUCGCGUUGGAUUAGCUAGUUGGAGUGGUAAUGGCACACCAAGGCGACGAUCCAUAACUGGUCUGAGAGGAUGACCAGUCACACUGGGACUGAGACACGGCCCAGACUCCUACGGGAGGCAGCAGUGGGGAAUUUUCCGCAAUGGGCGAAAGCCUGACGGAGCAAUACCGCGUGAGGGAGGAAGGCUCUUGGGUCGUAAACCUCUUUUGAUCGGGAAGAAGACAGUGACGGUACCGAUCGAAUCAGCUCGAUCCCAC
rnacentral:rRNA from 1 species